UACGUAGGGGGGCAAGCGUUGUCCGGAUUUACUGGGCGUAAAGAGCGUGUAGGCGGCCAAGCAGGUCCGUUGUGAAAACUGGAGGCUUAACCUCCAGACGUCGACGGAAACCGCGCGGCUAGAGUCCGGAAGAGGAGAGUGGAAUUCCUGGUGUAGCGGUGAAAUGCGCAGAUAUCAGGAAGAACACCAAUGCGAAGGCAGCUCUCUGGGACGGUACUGACGCUGAGACGCGAAAGCGUGGGGAGCGAACAGG
rnacentral:rRNA from 1 species